UACAUGUACACAGCUACAGAAGAACUAAUCUUUUAAAUAAUCUAUUGGAUAAUAGAAGAAAAGAGGUAUGUAGUUCCUUUUAUCAAUUGUUUAUUUAUAUUUAUGUACUACUUUCGCGUAAUAGUCUAACAUGAGACGAUUCAGCGUGAAAUUAUUGUCAACAAACCCACGUGGAGUACAAAUGAUUUACAAUGGAAGUGACAGGCUUCUCUUCAACAUUAGCAAGGAUGGACCAAAGCUAUGAAAACUGGACAGUCUCAAAGACACAAUUUUAGUCAGUAUAGAUGUGUCCCUAUGGAGGCAGCUAACAAAGAGCAGGAUAAUUAACAUUGCAUGGUGAACAUGUAGAAAUUUCGCUCUGUGUCAUCUCUAAAUAAGAAAAACUCAAUUCAGCACAACCGCAGUCAGAUACACUAUUCUCAUGAUUCUGUCAGAAGAAAAUUCUAACAAGAGACAGCUGUCAGGAGAAUGGUGGAGACAAUCUCCAGAAAAGAAAACGCUACUGAUAUUAGGAUGCAUGUACCAAUAUUUUACGAUCCCGAAAGACAAAUUUACCACAGGAA